rnacentral:rRNA from 1 species
CCUACGGUGGGCAGCAGUAGGGAAUUUUCGUCAAUGGGGGGAACCCUGAACGAGCAAUGCCGCGUGAGUGAAGAAGGUCUUCGGAUCGUAAAGCUCUAUUGUAAGAGAAAAACGGGUAUCAUAGGGAAUGAUGAUAUCGUGAUGGUAUCUUACCAGAAAGCCACGGCUAACUACGUGCCAGCACCCGCGGAAAUACGAGGGUGGCAAGCGUUAUCCGGAAUGAUGGGGGGUAAAGGGUGCGUAGGGGGCAAAAUAAGUCUGAAGUAAACGGCGUUGGCUAAACCAACGUAAGCUUUGGAAACGGUUAAGCUAGCGGGCAGGAGAGGUUAGUGGAAUUCCAUGGGUAGCGGUAAAAUGCGUAGAUAUAUGGAGGAACACCAGUGGCGAAGGCGGCUAACUGGCCUGUAACGGACGCUGAGGCACGAAAGCGUGGGGAGCAAAUAGGAUUAGAUACCCCUGUAGUC